CCCUGUUUGGAUGGAGGAGAUGAAGGGGGAUAUGAGAACCCCCCUGAUUUGUACUCCGGGUGUCGACCAAAUCCGGUGUUUGGUUCAGAUUUUUGGAAGGUGGAGAUAAAUACUGUAGCGGUUUCAUCUCCGGGUGAAGCUGGAUUUGUGAAGGAGAGCUCAGACCCCGUCGUUGGCAAAUCCGGGAGGUUUUAAGACGGUUUUACCCCUCCAAAUCCCCCUUUGCUUUAUCUGUUCUCAUCUCAUUUGUUUUCAUCGUUCUUUGAAACCCAGACCAACGAAGAGAGAGAAGAGAGAGAAGAGAGAGAGAGAGAAAAGAGGAGGUCGCCGAACAACUCUGGUGACUCCACCGCCUGACCGACGGUUACAACUCUCCCUCGUCUUCCUCCUUACACGGGCUGAGAUUGUACAAUGUCGACAGAAAAUAAACAAUACUAUUGGGUGGUUUUCGUUGGCCGUCGUCCGGGAAUUUAUACAAGUUGGGAGACCGCGGGACUGCAGGUUAAUGGAUAUCCGGGAAACUUGUUCAAAAGAUACACAACGUUCGACGAAGCCGAAGGAGCAUUGUUACAGUUCCAUGAGGAACGAUACCGGCUCCUUCAAAUGCAGUCGGUUCGAACUGAACAACAAUCAAGACACAAUGGUUCCACAUCCGAAAGUGCUUUGGAAGUUCAACAUCGAACUAGUGUAACCACAAAAUUCGUUGUCGUUUUUUUCUUAGGUUUCUUAUGUUGUAUAAUCUUCGCACAUCUAUUCGAUUCUGAUUGAACUUGUACGUUUUUUUCAAA